rnacentral:tRNA from 1 species
UCAGAAUAUAGUUUAAAUAUAAAACACUAAUUUUGGAAAUUAAAAUUAUUUAAUUUUAAAUAAAUUAUUCUGAU